AGCAGUUUCACCAACUGGAGUUCUACACAUUAUGUUACAACAACAAAAGGAAGAUACAAAUCUAAAACAUUACAAUGAAAACUAAGUUUAGUCUCACUUCCUACAUCGCCAAGACGACACUGAGAAAAGUGGGCGAUCCUGCCAGCAUAUCACCACGCAACCAUUAUCUUCUUUGAUCUUGUAUCCUUCACAACUGUAACUCUGCAACAACCUUCUUGCCUGCAACAUAGCAUAAUAACUCAAAGGCACAUUCCCAAAACCAGAUGUGUCGAAUCUUUGGAACCACUUUUCGAGCUUUUCAUGCCUCUCCUUUCGUUCGAUCCCUUCACAUGCUAUAAUGUUUCUAAUCUCUUCACCUAAUAACAUCUUUUCCACCUUUAAUCUCUCUAAUGAUGUUCUUGGCAGCGUCGAUUCAAGACAAUCAAAUAAUGCAGCAUAAAAAUGUAACGACUCUGAUAGCCUCUCCAUAAGAGUUGUCCCAUUAUGGUUAGCAUCUUGUUCUGUUACCACCAUAACUUUUGGUGAUAAACCCCACAAAGCAUUGAGGAAACUAUCCAUCUUUGUUGAACCAGUUGAACAUAGCGGGGAUGAAGAAGCGGUGUCAUUGCUUGGACUGCAACCAUUAGCCAUAUCUUUUUCAAGAAAUUCCCCUAAAGUAUUUUGGUUGACUAGUGCCCUGUUUAAGUUAACACCAUUUGAAUGCUUAAAAGGCAAAGGGGACUUCUUGUCAUUAUCAUGGGCUAGAAGGGUGUGCAAUUGCAUAAUUGAACUAAUCGCAAGAGCCUCCCCCGUUUUCACGCGAAGUUUCUCAACAUCAAGAUUUUCCAAUCUGCUAACUACUUGAUUGAACUGAAAAGGGAUAUCCAGUUUUUCUGCUUCUUGAGUAA
rnacentral:misc_RNA from 1 species